GGCCAUGUGGCCCAAUGGCAAGGCGCUUGACUACGAUGCGAGUAAUUACGUAAUCCGAAAUCAAGAGAUUCCAGGUUCGACCCCUGGCAUGGUCA